CUAAGCUGCGGUGUGCGCAUGCGUGCCUCCACUGCUGUGGUCCGGAGUCCUAAACACGCCGCGGUCCUGGCCAGCCAGAGGCCGCGCUUCAGUAGCGAAGGGCGGAUGUGGAACCGGGAAUGCCUGGGAGUACCAGAUGCUCGCAAUUAGGGAUAUGCAAGCUAGGGCAAAACCACAGGCAAGUCCAGAGAACAAAGUCCUCCUUGGUCUAUAACAGGAAUGCCCCUUACUCAAAUAGCCCAUGGAUACGGCCAUGGGUCAAGACAUCCUGCUUCACGAAGAAGACUUGUUUGUCAUUCCCAACACAGAUUUGGACCACAUGACCCUUCUAUUCUUCACCCAGAGCCUUAGCAGCAACUUCUGUGACUACACACUUUUCAUAAAAGCUGGCAUCUCAGGAUUCUGCCCUUUUCAGGGAGAGACAUUUAGACAAAGAGGAAUGGCUGCUUCAGCCCUGACAGAGCAUCAAGGUAAUACAUGUAAAGCACCCAGAACAGAAAGUGUUGUUUCGAUCAUCAUUACCAGGGACCAUUUGGAGGAGUGGAUGUUGGAGACAUUGCAACAGAAUCUCCCACACCUUUAAGAACCAGUAAUGCUCAUAUAAAGGUAUGGCUGGACACGCUGCUCUGUUUUGAUGUUUUACAAAGGGAAUGGAUAAGAGUUUAGGCAGCAGAGUUUAGGCUUUUUUGUUGCUGUUGGUUUGUUUGUUUUGUUCCCUUCUUGUCCUCAGCUCUGCAUCCACAGGACUCUGCUCUUCAAGAGAGGGGCUCUGCGAAGGGGAGGAUAACCACUGGACUUCUAGAAGGCACAUCACUGCGAUCAGUAACAUUCCAAGAUGUGGCCAUCGACUUCUCCCAAGAAGAAUGGGGAUUCCUGAACCCUGCUCAGAGAAAACUGUCCAUGGCUGUGAUGUCGGAAAAUUAUCAGAACCUGGCCUGGCUAGAGAGUGAGUCAAUAUGGGAGAGCAAGGAAUUAUCUCUAAGGAAGAGUAUAAAAGAGGAAACAUUCCAACAUGAAAUAGUGAUGAAAAGAGCAAGCAGCAUAUGUAGAGAAUAUGCAAAAACUUCCUGCAGCAAUAACGCACCUUUUCAUCCAUCAGAAAAUUCUUAAGGAGGAGUGCUGCCGGUGCCGUGAGUGUGGGAAAUGCUUUAGUCGUCGAUCAACUCUUGUUCAACAUCAGAAUCCACACAGGAGACAGACCCUAUAAGUGUAAUGAAUGUUGUAAAGCUUUCAAUCAGAGGGCACAUCUUAACCAGCAGGAGAGAAUUCACACAGAGAGCACAAGGAGGGGGAGAGGCAGAGGCAGAGGGAGAAGCAGACUCCCCGCCGAGCAGGGAGCCCGACAUGGGGCUCGAUCCCAGGACCCUGGAAUCAUGACCCAAGCCAAAGGCAGCCGCUUAACCGACUGAGCCACCCAGGCGCCCCACGAGGCUCAUUUUUUAAAAUUUAAAUUCAAUUAGCCAACAAAUAAUACAUCAUUGUUUCAGAUGUAGAGUUCAGUAAUUCAUCAGUUGCCUAUAACACCCAGUGCUCGUCGCAUCACGUGACCUCCUUAAUGCCCAUCAACUCAGUUACCCCAUCUGCCCACCCACCUCCCCUCCAGCAACCCUCAGUUUGUUUCCUAUUGCUAAGGGUCUCUCAUGGUUUGUCUCCCUCUCUGAUGAGUUCCCAUUCAGAUUUCCCUCCCUUCCUCUAUGAUCCUCUGCACUGUUUCUUAUAUUCCACAUAUGAGUGAAACCAUAUGAUAAUUAUCUUUCCCUGACUGACUUAUUUUGCUCAGCAUAAUUACCCUCCAGUUCUAUCCACGUCGAUGUAAAUGGUAAGUAUUCAUCAUUUUUGAUGGCUGAGUAAUAUUCCAUUGUGUGUGUGUGUGUGUGUGUGUGUGUAUACAUAUAUGUAUUUCAUCUUCUUUAUCCAUUCAUCUGUUGAUGGACAUCUAGCCUCUUUCCACAGUUUGGCUAUUGUGGACAUUGCUGUUAUAAACAUUGGGGUGCAGGUGCCCCUUCGGAUCAUUACAUUUGUAUCUUUGGGGUAAAUACCUAGUAGUACAAUUGCUGGGUCAUAGGGUAGCUCUAUUUUUAGCCAGAGGAAUGUUGAAAAAGAAAACCAAAGCUGGUGGCGUCACAAUGCCAGACCUCAAACUAUAUUACAGAUCUGCAGUCAUCAAGAUAGUAUGGUACUGACACAAAAACAGACACAUAGAUCAAUAUAAUUCUAUUUGUCCUUUUUAAAUUUCAAUUUCUGAUCGUUCAUUGCUAUUAUAACAUACCAUGGAUGUUUGUAUAUUCCAGCUGUAUUUUGCAAUUAUACUAAACUCAGUUGGUCUAGUUUGUUUUGUUUUUGGUACAUUGGCUGGGUUGUUCAACCAAAGAUGACCCUGUCUUCUUCAAAUAAAGGCAAUUUUACUUUUUCUUUCCCAUCUUGGUGUCUUAUUUAUUUUUCCUAGCCUUAUUGUACUGGCUGAAACCUCUGGUACAAGAGUAAGUAGAAGUGAGGGCAGACAUCCUUACUUUAUUCCUGAUUUUAGGGAAAAAGCAUCCAGUUAUUUUUUUUUAUCAUUAUGUAUCAAAUUAGCCGGUUUUGAAAAUAGU